CAUGGCGCUUGCUGAAGCGGGCGCUGCAGUGACAUGGAUAAAGAAAAAUAACAGCUGAUUUUAUCGUUGUGACCAUCGUAAGCGCUGUGAGACUCCCGGGGAGAUAUCGGUAGCCAGCCAGUAUUCACUGCCCCGUCAGCACGUGCGAUCGACAGCGGAAACGAAGAAACGAGCGAAAGUGUGCAUGCGAGUGUCGUCGUUUCGUGUCUUGCCUGGAUGUACCAUCCAUCUUUCAAGUGUAAUCGCAAUGAACUUCAAAGAUUUCUGUGAUAUGGCGUGCGUGCUGCCAGGCGCACUGCGUGAUUGCCUCCAAGACUGCACGCAACCUGUCGGUGUGCCAUCUCGGAGGUCUAGACUGGUAAAACCUCAAAAAGGCGAGCGCACUCAUGAGAGCUCUGCGAUCGCCAGCGUGCCUCGUGAGUUGUGGCAGUCAGGCAUAGAGGCGUACCAGCCGUGGAGGGCAAGGAGGGUGCCAGCCCCCCCCCCCCCCCCAACUUUCGACAGUGGUGACUGUUGGCUGCACGCCGGGGAAAGCAACAAUUGAAGCGAAGUUUUCCUUCACCACAGUAUUCACUAAAUUAUGUUAAUACGAGGGAAUAUUACAAUAUAGUGAAAUUUCUUCAACA